rnacentral:rRNA from 1 species
GCGGCUGCUUCCUGCAGCUUAACGGAGCGGGAGCAAUCCCUGUGGUUAAUGGCGAACGGGUGAGUAAUGUAUCGGAACGUGCCCAGUCGUGGGGGAUAACGCACGCGAAAGCUGUGCUAAUACCGCAUACGAUCUAUGGAUGAAAGCGGGGGAUCGCAAGACCUCGCGCGAUUGGAGCGGCCGAUAUCAGAUUAGUAGUUGGUGGGGUAAAGGCCCACCAAGCCGACGAUCUGUAGCUGGUCUGAGAGGACGACCAGCCACACUGGGACUGAGACACGGCCCAGACUCCUACGGGAGGCAGCAGUGGGGAAUUUUGGACAAUGGGCGCAAGCCUGAUCCAGCAAUGCCGCGUGCAGGAUGAAGGCCUUCGGGUUGUAAACUGCUUUUGUACGGAGCGAAACGGCUUCCACUAAUACUGGGGGCUAAUGACGGUACCGUAAGAAUAAGCACCGGCUAACUACGUGCCAGCAGCCGCGGUAAUACGUAGGGUGCGAGCGUUAAUCGGAAUUACUGGGCGUAAAGCGUGCGCAGGCGGUUAUGUAAGACAGAUGUGAAAUCCCCGAGCCUUAACCCUGGGAACUGCAUUUGUGACUGCAUAGCUAGAGUACGGUAGAGGGGGAUGGCAAUUCCGCGUGUAGCAAGUGAAAAUGCCGUAAUUGCGGACGGAACACCGAUCGGCGAAGGCAAUCCCCUGGACCUUGUAACUGACGCUCAUGGACAAACCGUGGGGAGCAAACAAGCUUUAAUACCCUGGUAUCCAGCC